GACGAACGCUGGCGGCGUGCUUAACACAUGCAAGUCGAACGGAAAGGCCCUGCUUUUGUGGGGUGCUCGAGUGGCGAACGGGUGAGUAACACGUGAGUAACCUGCCCUUGACUUUGGGAUAACUUCAGGAAACUGGGGCUAAUACCGGAUAGGAGCUCCUGCUGCAUGGUGGGGGUUGGAAAGUUUCGGCGGUUGGGGAUGGACUCGCGGCUUAUCAGCUUGUUGGUGGGGUAGUGGCUUACCAAGGCUUUGACGGGUAGCCGGCCUGAGAGGGUGACCGGCCACAUUGGGACUGAGAUACGGCCCAGACUGCUACGGGAGGCAGCGGUGGAAAGUAUUACACAGUGGGCCGAAGCCGGAUGCAGCAACGCCGCGUGCGGGAUGACGGCCUUCGGGUUAUAAACGGCUUUAGCCUGUGACGAAGCGUGAGUGACGGUAAUGGGUAAAGAAGCACCGGCUAACUACGUG
rnacentral:rRNA from 1 species